CUAGAGAGCUGGUGAAGGGUGUGGAGCGCAAGUCCUGUGAGGAGCAGCUGAGGGAGCUGGUGGUGUUUAGCCUGGAGAAAUGGAGGUUCAGGGGGACAUUGUCCUGCUCCACAACCCCCUGAAGGGAGAUGCUGGCCAGUGAGCCACCAUGAUAAACAAUUCUGAAGGAGGGAGAAGAAAGCUACCUUCCCUGUAUUUCCUGUCACUUGCUACUAAUAUUGUCUUUUUCAGGCUGGCCACUGAAGUCUGUUCUGUUUUCAUUUCUUCAUUUGUCUGUCACUGCCAGUCCAUGGGUCUUUUCUGUAACUGGUGAACACAUGAUUUGAACUACAGUGGGCUCACAACUUUAUAUGACAGUUCCUAAAAACAGGCACACAUAGUUCAUGGCUAUGCAACUCUGCCAGCUUUAUUUGGGAAUAGUCCUGACCUACCUCUGAUGUGGGAAGAAGCUUGGUGAAGCAAACUGCUUUAUUCAUAAUACUGUGCUAGGCACAGCUUUCCUAUUCUCCUGUUGAGCAGAAAGAGGCAGCUCCCUUUCCACUUCACAUUUGGCUCUCUUUCCACUAUGGACCUCCAUUCAUAUCCUUCUCAUUACCAUCCACACAGUUAGUUUAUAAAAUUAAAUUAAAGUAGUAAACAAAAUACCAGAUACUCCUCCUAAAGCUCCAUCUAUAAAUAUCUCCCCUGCCUACUCAUGCUGUCUGAUUAAGAGGCAGUAAGCAGUUAGUUAGAGAACCUAAAGCAGGUCAGAUUCCAUCAAGAUGGGCAGGAUUUUUUUUUUUAAAUGGGGCUACUCCAUUUAGCUUUCUAGUUUCAUAGGUAAAAAGCCCAAUGUUCCCAAAAUGCACACUGACAAUGCUGAAGCCUCCUAUUUUGACAUUUUCAUAAUUAAGGUUUUUCAUUCUGAAAUAUUUUUUGAUCCAAAAUGGACUAAUAUAACUUAGCCAAAGUGGAUCUUGAAACAUGAUAUGGUUCUGGCUGUUGUGUUAUCAAGCAAAUAUUAUACAUAUGGUACAUAUCACCUAUGUACCAAGUAAACAUGGAAAAAUGAACAGUACCUUUGCAGCAGUGGCUAGCUGUAUUUUGAGAAAUUCCAAUUAUUUUAUGAGAAACUUAAUAAUCUUCUUUAAGAAUUCUAGAAAAUUUGGGUAAAAGGUCCUUUGAUUUCUAGAAAUCAAAGAAAUCUAGGCAUGGGUCUGAUUUCAGUCCUAAUUCACAGUGUGAUUGGAUAUUCUUUGUCAAAGAAAUUUGUCACAGCACCUCAGUCUUUAUUCCAUGACUGAGGCAGGCACCCUGGCCCAUAUUAGAGGAUGAGGACCAGACAAGAAAAUGUGUGUUGUAGCUAAUACUUCCCUGUAUGAAGCCAUCACAGCAUCACAAUUUAUGUGUG